GGCCGCCAGGAGCCGCGGGCGCGCGGCCCCCUCCAGCGCCAGCCACGUUGACACCCCCCCGCGGUCUGCCAGCUCUGGGGACGAGGCGUCGCUCAGCUUCUCCACGGGCUCUUUCUCCCGGGGCCACAGGAAAUAAUGGAACUGUAAUCUAACUAGAGCCACAUGCUGAAGAAGUAUCCUAG
rnacentral:lncRNA from 1 species